AUUGAACGCUGGCGGCAUGCCUUACACAUGCAAGUCGAACGGUAACAGGUCUUCGGAUGCUGACGAGUGGCGAACGGGUGAGUAAUACAUCGGAACGUGCCCGAUCGUGGGGGAUAACGAAGCGAAAGCUUUGCUAAUACCGCAUACGAUCUACGGAUGAAAGCAGGGGACCGCAAGGCCUUGCGCGAACGGAGCGGCCGAUGGCAGAUUAGGUAGUUGGUGGGAUAAAAGCUUACCAAGCCGACGAUCUGCAGCUGGUCUGAGAGGACGACCAGCCACACUGGGACUGAGAAACGGCCCAGACUCCUACGGGAGGCAGCAGUGGGGAAUUUUGGACAAUGGGCGAAAGCCUGAUCCAGCCAUGCCGCGUGCAGGAUGAAGGCCUUCGGGUUGUAAACUGCUUUUGUACGGAACGAAAAGACUCUGGUUAAUACCUGGGGUUCAUGACGGUACCGUAAGAAUAAGCACCGGCUAACUACGUGCCAGCCGCCGCGGUAA
rnacentral:rRNA from 1 species